rnacentral:lncRNA from 1 species
UCUCUCUGUUGCAUCAUCUUCCAAUGCAAGACUUUUCAAGAUCUCUAUUCCCAAGUGUUGUAAAGUAGGGUAUUUCUCCCCAUAUCUUAAUAAGUCCCUGAUGUUGCUAAUAGUGAAAACUAUCUCUGAAAUUUCUUUCCUUAGCUCUUUACCUGUGGCGCCUGCUGUGCUCGCCAGCAUCUUCACGACCUGGAGAGAUCGUUUAAGUGUCAAUAUCU